rnacentral:rRNA from 1 species
AUUGAACGCUGGCGGCAUGCCUUACACAUGCAAGUCGAACGGCAGCGCGGGAGCAAUCCUGGCGGCGAGUGGCGAACGGGUGAGUAAUACAUCGGAACGUGCCCAAUCGUGGGGGAUAACGCAGCGAAAGCUGUGCUAGUACCGCAUACGAUCUACGGAUGAAAGCAGGGGAUCGCAAGACCUUGCGCGAAUGGAGCGGCCGAUGGCAGAUUAGGUAGUUGGUGAGGUAAAGGCUCACCAAGCCUUCGAUCUGUAGCUGGUCUGAGAGGACGACCAGCCACACUGGGACUGAGACACGGCCCAGACUCCUACGGGAGGCAGCAGUGGGGAAUUUUGGACAAUGGGCGAAAGCCUGAUCCAGCCAUGCCGCGUGCAGGAUGAAGGCCUUCGGGUUGUAAACUGCUUUUGUACGGAACGAAACGGUCUUUUCUAAUAAAGAAGGCUAAUGACGGUACCGUAAGAAUAAGCACCGGCUAACUACGUG